rnacentral:ncRNA from 1 species
UAAGCAUGUCCGAGAGUACAUGUUGAAUGUACAGAAGUCAGCAGAAGCCAUAGUACGCAAGCUGUUGCAAGGGUCUGCGGAAGGGC